GGAGGAGUGGCAGAGUGGUUGAAUGCACUGGUCUUGAAAACCAGCAGGCGUGCAAGCGUCUCGGGAGUUCGAAUCUCCCCUCCUCCGCCA
rnacentral:tRNA from 1 species